UGGGGAAUAUUGGACAAUGGGCGCAAGCCUGAUCCAGCCAUGCCGCGUGUGUGAAGAAGGCCUUUUGGUUGUAAAGCACUUUAAGCGAGGAGGAGGCUACUUGGAUUAAUACUCUAGGAUAGUGGACGUUACUCGCAGAAUAAGCACCGGCUAACUCUGUGCCAGCAGCCGCGGUAAUACAGAGGGUGCGAGCGUUAAUCGGAUUUACUGGGCGUAAAGCGUGCGUAGGCGGCUUCUUAAGUCGGAUGUGAAAUCCCUGAGCUUAACUUAGGAAUUGCAUUUGAUACUGGGAAGCUAGAGUAUGGGAGAGGAUGGUAGAAUUCCAAGUGUAGCGGUGAAAUGCGUAGAGAUCUUGAGGAAUACCGAUGGCGAAGGCAGCCAUCUGGCCUAAUACUGACGCUGGGGUACGAAAGCAUGGGGAGCAAACAGG
rnacentral:rRNA from 1 species